rnacentral:tRNA from 1 species
GCCUGGCUGGCUCAGUUGGUAGAGCAUGGGGCUCUUGACCUCAUGGUUGUGAGUUCAAUUCCCAGGUGGGGUG